GACAGAGGGGGCAAGCGUUGCUCGGAAUUACUGGGCGUAAAGGGCGCGUAGGCGGGAUGGCAAGUCGGUCGUGAAAUCCCUCGGCUCAACUGAGGAUCGUCGAUCGAUACUGCCGUUCUUGAGGAUUGCAGAGGAGACUGGAAUUCCCGGUGUAGCGGUGAAAUGUGUAGAGAUCGGGAGGAACACCGGUGGCGAAGGCGGGUAGCUGGGCCAACACUGACGCUGAUGUGCGAAAGCUAGGGUAGCAAACGGG
rnacentral:rRNA from 1 species